CUGUGAGAGGGAUGAUGUACUACUAUAGGGCGCUGAAGAUGCUUGCCUUUCUUGAUUCUGCAUCUGAGAUGGAUAUAGGG